UUGUUCACGGUACACAAGACAGAUAUUAUCUGGGGUGCACAAUUAAAGGGGCCCUGCCACAUUUUCAGUGGACUUAUCGUUUUGUAUGAGCGUGGUGCUGAGAGUCGUCGGGCUUUAGCAAUUAAAGCUGGCGCUUUGUGUGUUUUAUAUAAACGAAUGAACUACUGAAUUUUCAGCAGAGAUUUAGUUUGAAAACGAAGCAAUAUGAGAUCCCCAACGCCUUCAACAAGAUUUUUUGCUCACCUGCUACUUGUGGCUGUACCAGUAGCGAGUAAUGUUUCGGACGGAGAAGGAAACACGGAAUAUUACGAGUAUGAGUACACUACUCCAGACCUU